AAGGGCCACCGCUUCUCUCACUUGGGGUAUUGGGCAUCAAGAAGGCCUUUUCUAAAGUUGCUCUCUAGACGACAGAAUCCGCCAUUCUCUACGACUCUCAAUCCUAGUAGGUUAGCAAGGCUCUCCUUGUAGAAUAUAUUGUAGUGCAGAAGAGGAAUAAACCAUUUAAAGGACUGGGGUUAGAACACAUGAACAAAUCUUACCCUGUCGUUCAAUCUCAACUCACAAGUUCUACCCUCAGAAGUAGCCAAUUCCAGGUACUGUAAUUGUAGCUUUAUUAGCAGCAAUUUGGUUAGUCAAUGAAGUAGAGAGAAAUUUCUUACUCCCUUGAUUUGGCUAUCAAACUGAUAUAUUCUACCUGAGGGAGCGAGAUCUAUUGAUCCAUUUUGCUACUGAGAUAUCGCAGCUUCAAGCACAGGGCCUAAGCAGAGAGUAUGCCCUUCUUUAGAGUUAUCAACUUGUAGAAGACUUGGGGAGAGCUUUCUUGGAUCGAGCAAUUUUGCAGACCUUUUUAGAUGCUGAGGCAACUGUGUCUUCUGGUCCACUUAAGAGUAUGUUAAGUCUGUUAAGAUCCAUGCAUGUCUUGAUUAUCUUGGAAGAAGAUGCUUCCUUUCUCCAAUAUGGUUACUUGUCACCCGACAAUGCUGCUGGAAUUAGAAAAGAAGUAACAAUACUCUGCAGUGAAUUGCGACCACAUGCCCUUGCCUUGGUCAGCUCCUUUGGCAUCCUUGACGCAUUUUUGAGCCCAAUUGCUUUCAAUUGGAUCGAUGCAAAUUCUUGGUCGUCGGUUCAACCCCAACAAGGGGCCAUAGUUCCUCUCUAGAUUUAGAUGAAUCAAAACUUAUACUGCCCAUGGCUUUCUAGAUUCACUAUUAUUAUCUAAUAAAGAUUCAAAGUUUGGGUGUUGGAAAUUUAAGGCUUUCCUAUAAAGUAAUGCGUCAAGAUGGAGGCAAGAGACUUGGUUGUAGAUAUAUACAUGAGCAACUUAAUUUAAUUUUAUGUAUAUUGUCUUGUAGUGUGUUUUUAAUUUCAUUGUAUAUUAUAUGAGUUUCUUCUAUAUAGAGAAAUUGGGGAUAACUUUAAACAAGUUCAUUGAUUUGUGCUUUAAUUAAUAAUUAAAUGUAUAUUAAAUAUGUUUUGAUUAUAUAUAAAAUCAUGAUAAUUUGAUUGUCA